rnacentral:tRNA from 1 species
GAGGAGAGGGCUAGACCAGCAAGAACUGCUAACUCUUGCAUCUGAGACUAAAUCCUCAGUCUCCUUA